GAUGAACGCUGGCGGCGUGCUUAACACAUGCAAGUCGAACGAUGAAACCGGAGCUUGCUCCGGUGGAUUAGUGGCGAACGGGUGAGUAACACGUGAGUAACCUGCCCUUGACUCUGGGAUAUCUGCGGGAAACUGUAGCUAAUACCGGAUACGACCCUCGGAGGCAUCUCCCGGGGGUGGAAAGAAUUUCGGGCAAGGAUGGACUCGCGGCCUAUCGGCUAGUUGGGGAGGUAACGGCUCACCAAGGCGACGACGGGUAGCCGGACUGAGAGGGUGACCGGCCACACUGGGACUGAGACACGGCCCAGACUCCUACGGGAGGCAGCAGUGGGGAAUAUUGCACAAUGGGCGCAAGCCUGAUGCAGCAACGCCGCGUGAGGGAUGACGGCCUUCGGGUUGUAAACCUCUUUUAGUAGGGAAGAAGCGAAAGUGACGGUACCUGCAGAAAAAGCACCGGCUAACUACGUGCCAGCCGCCGCAGUAA
rnacentral:rRNA from 1 species